AUGAACGCUAGCUACAGGCUUAACACAUGCAAGUCGAGGGGCAGCAUGGUCUUAGCUUGCUAAGACUGAUGGCGACCGGCGCACGGGUGAGUAACACGUAUCCAACCUGCCGUCUACUCUUGGACAGCCUUCUGAAAGGAAGAUUAAUACAAGAUGGCAUCAUGAGUCCGCAUGUUCACAUGAUUAAAGGUAUUCCGGUAGACGAUGGGGAUGCGUUCCAUUAGAUAGUAGGCGGGGUAACGGCCCACCUAGUCUUCGAUGGAUAGGGGUUCUGAGAGGAAGGUCCCCCACAUUGGAACUGAGACACGGUCCAAACUCCUACGGGAGGCAGCAGUGAGGAAUAUUGGUCAAUGGGCGAGAGCCUGAACCAGCCAAGUAGCGUGAAGGAUGACUGCCCUAUGGGUUGUAAACUUCUUUUAUAAAGGAAUAAAGUCGGGUAUGCAUACCCGUUUGCAUGUACUUUAUGAAUAAGGAUCGGCUAACUCCGUGCCAGCAGCCGCGGUAAUACGGAGGAUCCGAGCGUUAUCCGGAUUUAUUGGGUUUAAAGGGAGCGUAGAUGGAUGUUUAAGUCAGUUGUGAAAGUUUGCGGCUCAACCGUAAAAUUGCAGUUGAUACUGGAUAUCUUGAGUGCAGUUGAGGCAGGCGGAAUUCGUGGUGUAGCGGUGAAAUGCUUAGAUAUCACGAAGAACUCCGAUUGCGAAGGCAGCCUGCUAAGCUGCAACUGACAUUGAGGCUCGAAAGUGUGGGUAUCAAACAGGAUUAGAUACCCUGGUAGUCCACACGGUAAACGAUGAAUACUCGCUGUUUGCGAUAUACGGCAAGCGGCCAAGCGAAAGCGUUAAGUAUUCCACCUGGGGAGUACGCCGGCAACGGUGAAACUCAAAGGAAUUGACGGGGGCCCGCACAAGCAGUGGAGUAUGUGGUUUAAUUCGACGCAACGCGAAGAACCUUACCAAGGCUUGACAUAUACAGGAAUAUGUUAGAAAUAACAUAGCUCUUCGGAGCUUGUAUACAGGUGGUGCAUGGUUGUCGUCAGCUCGUGUCGUGAGAUGUUAGGUUAAGUCCUGCAACGAGCGCAACCCCUGUGAUUAGUUGCCAACAGGUUAAGCUGAGGACUCUGACAAGACUGCCAUCGUAAGAUGUGAGGAAGGUGGGGAUGACGUCAAAUCAGCACGGCCCUUACGUCCGGGGCUACACACGUGUUACAAUGGGGGGUACAGAGGGCCGCUACCACGCGAGUGGAUGCCAAUCCCAAAAACCUCUCUCAGUUCGGACUGGAGUCUGCAACCCGACUCCACGAAGCUGGAUUCGCUAGUAAUCGCGCAUCAGCCACGGCGCGGUGAAUACGUCCCCGGGCCUUGUACACACCGCCCGUCAAGCCAUGGGAGCCGGGGGUACCUGAAGUGCGUAACCGCGAGGAGCGCCCUAGGGUAAAACUGGUGACUGGGGCU
rnacentral:rRNA from 1 species